UACGUAGGGGGCAAGCGUUGUCCGGAUUCAUUGGGCGUAAAGAGCGUGUAGGCGGCCAGGUAGGUCGGUUGUGAAAACUGGAGGCUCAACCUUCAGAGGUCGACCGAAACCAUCUGGCUAGAGUCCGGGAGAGGAGAGUGGAAUUCCUGGUGUAGCGGUGAAAUGCGCAGAUAUCAGGAAGAACACCCGUGGCGAAAGCGGCUCUCUGGAACGGUACUGACGCUGAUGCACGAAGGCCAGGGGAGCAAACGGG
rnacentral:rRNA from 1 species